ACCCAGACCGCCAGCUAAGGUCCCAAAGUCAUGGUUAAGUGGGAAACGAUGUGGGAAGGCCCAGACAGCCAGGAUGUUGGCUUAGAAGCAGCCAUCAUUUAAAGAAAGCGUAAUAGCUCACUGGUCGAGUCGGCCUGCGCGGAAGAUGUAACGGGGCUAAACCAUGCACCGAAGCUGCGGCAGCGACACUAUGUGUUGUUGGGUAGGGGAGCGUUCUGUAAGCCGUUGAAGGUGUGCUGUGAGGCAUGCUGGAGGUAUCAGAAGUGCGAAUGCUGACAUAAGUAACGAUAAAGCGGGUGAAAAGCCCGCUCGCCGGAAGACCAAGGGUUCCUGUCCAACGUUAAUCGGGGCAGGGUGAGUCGACCCCUAAGGCGAGGCCGAAAGGCGUAGUCGAUGGGAAACAGGUUAAUAUUCCUGUACUUGGUGUUACUGCGAAGGGGGGACGGAGAAGGCUAUGUCGGCCGGGCGACGGUUGUCCCGGUUUAAGCGUGUAGGUGUGUGCUCCAGGCAAAUCCGGUGCACUUUAACACUGAGGCGUGAUGACGAGGCACUACGGUGCUGAAGUGACAAAUGCCCUGCUUCCAGGAAAAGCCUCUAAGCAUCAGGUAACACGAAAUCGUACCCCAAACCGACACAGGUGGUCAGGUAGAGAAUACCAAGGCGCUUGAGAGAACUCGGGUGAAGGAACUAGGCAAAAUGGUGCCGUAACUUCGGGAGAAGGCA
rnacentral:rRNA from 1 species